GUCUACGGCCAUUCCACCCUGAAUGUGUCUGAUCUCGGAAGCAAAGCAGCAUCAGGCCUGGUUAGUACUUGGAUGGGUGACCACCUGGGAAUACUGGUUGUGGUAAGCU
ensembl:rRNA 5S_rRNA 5S ribosomal RNA